rnacentral:rRNA from 1 species
AUUGAACGCUGGCGGCAGGCUUAACACAUGCAAGUCGAGCGGAGCGAGGGUGCUUGCACCUUAGCUUAGCGGCGGACGGGUGAGUAAUGCUUAGGAAUCUGCCUAUUAGUGGGGGACAACAUUCCGAAAGGGAUGCUAAUAACGCAUACGCCCUACGGGGGAAAGCAGGGGAUCUUCGGACCUUGCGCUAAUAGAUGAGCCUAAGUCGGAUUGGCUAGUUGGUGGGGUAAAGGCCUACCAAGGCGACGAUCUGUAGCGGGUCUGAGAGGAUGAUCCGCCACACUGGGACUGAGACACGGCCCAGACUCCUACGGGAGGCAGCAGUGGGGAAUAUUGGACAAUGGGGGGAACCCUGAUCCAGCCAUGCCGCGUGUGUGAAGAAGGCCUUUUGGUUGUAAAGCACUUUAAGCGAGGAGGAGGCGCUCUAGGAUAAUACCCUAGAUGCGUGGACGUUACUCGCAGAAUAAGCACCGGCUAACUCUGUGCCAGCAGCCGCCGUAAAAC